rnacentral:rRNA from 1 species
UCGAAACCUGCUCAGCAGAACAACCAGCGAACAUGUUCAUUUAACGAGGGGUCCAAGGCGGGCUAUUGCUUGUGUUGGCCCUUCAAAAGGCCUUUGCGGAGGGAAUAGGGUGUGUAGGAGUGACCUUUCCCCCGACUUCCCUCGGUAACGGCCUGCUAACAAACCCCCGGCGCGGAAAGCGCCAAGGAAUUGCAAAUGAGAAAAGAUCGUCCUUCCAUGUUUAACCCGGAAACGGUGUGUAACAACGGAUGUGUCGUGAUUUGUAAAUCUUAACGACUCUCGGCAACGGAUAUCUCGGCUCUCGCAUCGAUGAAGAACGCAGCGAAAUGCGAUACUUGGUGUGAAUUGCAGGAUCCCGUGAACCAUCGAGUUUUUGAACGCAAGUUGCGCCCAAAGCCUUUUGGCCGAGGGCACGUCUGCCUGGGUGUCACUCAAUCGUCGCCCUAGCCCCCUCCUCUCCUCUUGGAAGGUGGGUGUAAAUCGGGCGGAGUAUGGCCUCCCGUAUGCUACCUACAUGCGGUUGGUUCAAAUUUUCGGUCCUCGGCAUCGUCGCCACGGCAAACGGUGGUUGCACGACCCUCGCUAAAUGCUGUGAGUGAUUUGUUGUCGGUGUGGCCUGCGAGGCCCCAAAGUGUUUCGGAAGACACGAUCGCAACGCGACC